GACGAACGCUGGCGGCGUGCUUAACACAUGCAAGUCGAACGGAAAGGCCUGCUUUCCCUUGUGUGUUGCGGGUACUCGAGUGGCGAACGGGUGAGUAACACGUGAGUGAUCUGCCCCCAACUUGGGUAUAAGCCUGGGAAACUGGGUCUAAUGCCCGAUAGGACUGCAGGGUGGUGCCUGUGGUGGCAAACGAUUUUCUAGUGGUCGGGGAUGAGCUCGCGGCGUAUCAGCUUGUUGGUGGGGUAAUGGCCUACCAAGGCGGGGACGGGAAGCCGGCCUGGGGUGGUCGGCCGGCGAGGUGGGACGGCGAUACUGGGCAGGAUACAACGGGAGGCAGCAGUGGGGAAGAAUGCGCGGGGAGUAGAGGACUGAGGGAGGGACGCUGAGUGGGGGAUGACGGGCUUGGGAUGGUGGCCUUCUUUCGGCCGAGAGGAUGCGCCCUGGAUGGAACGGUGGUGACGGUAGUGGUAGAAGAAGCACCGGCUAACUACGUG
rnacentral:rRNA from 1 species